rnacentral:rRNA from 1 species
GUAACGACUCUCGGCAACGGAUAUCUCGGCUCUCGCAUCGAUGAAGAACGUAGCGAAAUGCGAUACUUGGUGUGAAUUGCAGAAUCCCGUGAACCAUCGAGUCUUUGAACGCAAGUUGCGCCCAAAGCCAUCAGGUUGAGGGCACGUCUGCCUGGGCGUCACGC